UACGGAGGGUGCAAGCGUUAUCCGGAUUCCCUGGGCUUAAAGGGCGCGUAGGUGGGUUGGUAAGUCAGUGGUGAAAUCUCUAGGCUUAACCUGGAAACUGCCAUUGAUACUAUCAGUCUUGAAUAUUGUGGAGGUCAGCGGAAUAUGUCAUGUAGCGGUGAAAUGCUUAGAUAUGACAUAGAACACCAAUUGCGAAGGCAGCUGGCUAGGCAUAUAUUGACACUGAGGCGCGAAAGCGUGGGGAGCAAACAGG
rnacentral:rRNA from 1 species